CACGUAGGGUGCGAGCGUUGUCCGGAAUUAUUGGGCGUAAAGAGCUCGUAGGCGGUGUGUCGCGUCGGCCGUGAAAACCUGCAGCUUAGCUGUGGGCUUGCGGUCGAUACGGGCAUCACUGGAGUUCGGCAGGGAGACUGGAAUUCCUGGUGUAGCGGUGAAAUGCGCAGAUAUCAGGAGGAACACCGGUGGCGAAGGCGGGUCUCUGGGCCGAUACUGACGCUGAGGUGCGAAAGCGUGGGGAGCAAACAGG
rnacentral:rRNA from 1 species